GCCAGGUGCAGAGGUCUCCGGUGGAGCAACCACCGCUCGGGGGAUGCAGGCUGCGCCUGCCCAAGCGUUCCCGAGGUUUAAGUUCAUUGUGAUCAGCAGAUCGGUGGCCAAGGCGUUCUCCACCUGGCACAAGAAGGCUGCAGGAAAACACAGGAUCAGCAGAGCUUCCCAGGGGUGUCCUGACAAGCUGCUGCAGAGGCGCGUGAAGCUCUCCCUGCCCGUACUGCCAAGGCAGGGGCCAGGCACCAGGCAGCCAGACAUGGAG